rnacentral:lncRNA from 1 species
UUCCAGACUGGCUGCCAGUGCUCCAGGGACAAAUAGAACCAGCACAUACAUGUACAUUUAUUAGUGAUGUAAUAUACUGUACUAUGGAAAUCCUAAAAGGGUCUUUCCAAUUUAUGGUAGGAUCUUGGACAUGUCAGCUCCAUGUGACUUGGUUUAAUCACAUGAAAAAGAGAUGCAUCUUUUAAAUUCAGAGCAUAUGUUUUAAAGUGCUUUGGGAUUGGGUAAAGCCAUGAAGGAGGUGUCCAGCUCAUCGGCAAAGCCUGUCUUCAGUUCCACUGUGAGCACACAAACCACUCGUGUCUCCAGUCACUGCAAGAGUGAUGUCAGAAAACAGACGGCAGCCAUGGGAACAGCUCACACAAAUUAACAGAGCACAGGUUUCUCAGAGGACUUGGACCUUGCAGAUCAGGUGGACAUACCCAAAAUAAUUUUCAAAUGAUCACAUGCAAGCCACUGAAGUUCAGCCUGUGGAGCCUGAGGACCUUGGAUAUGUACUCUUCAGUUGUCUGCGCUGUUUCAGUCACACAUCUGCAAUAUAAAAAAAAAUCCUCACAUUCAUAGCUGACUCUUUUCAUCUGCUCACAUGUGAUCUAUAUGUUGCUGUCUUUAUUCCUGGGAAGAGAGAUUGUCUUCCAGCUGGCAGUUUAACCAGUGAAGUAUAGUAAAAUGUUACAUAUAUAAAAAAUUCUUGCAGUGUAAAAAUCCAUUUCCCACUCUUAUU